UAAGCAAGAUGUGAAAUCGUACGGCUCAACCGUAUACACACAUUUUGAACUGGCAAGCUAGAGUAUAUGAGAGGUCACUGGAAUUUCUAGUGUAGGAGUGAAAUCCGUAGAUAUUAGAAGGAACACCGAUGGCGUAGGCAGGUGACUGGCAUAUUACUGACGCUAAGGCACGAAAGCGUGGGAGCGAACCGGAUUAGAUACCCGGGUAGUCCACGCCGUAAACUAUGGAUGCUA
rnacentral:rRNA from 1 species